rnacentral:sRNA from 1 species
UGGGAGUCAAAUAUGACUAGAUGUCAUGUUUAUGAUUGAGUAUAAGAACUAGAACCGCAACUAAUUCCCAAAAGCUAAAUUAAUGUUUCCUUGUU